GACAGAGGGUGCAAACGUUGUUCGGAAUUACUGGGCGUAAAGCGCGUGUAGGCUGCUUCGCAAGUCGGGUGUGAAAGCCCUGGGCUCAACCUAGGAAGUGCACUCGAAACUGCGAAGCUGGAGUCCUGGAGAGGAAGGCGGAAUUCUCGGUGUAGCAGUGAAAUGCGUAGAGAUCGGGAGGAACACCAGUGGCGAAGGCGACUACCUGGACCAGCACUGACACUGAGGCACGAAAGCGUGGGGAGCAAACAGG
rnacentral:rRNA from 1 species